ensembl:lncRNA
UGCACUUCAUGUAGCACUAUUUGCUUCUGUGUCUUAUAAUGUUGCAUGUACCCUCUCUCAGGGCGCCAACCGUACAACAGAGGAGGCAGAACGUGAGAGGAGAGAGCGAGAUGAGCGGAUGAGGCACAGCAGGAAUCCUGCAGCUCGUGGUAUCCCAGCAGCCUCAGGCAGACCUCGCCCCACACAGGAGGGAGCUCCUCCCACCCCCCUCACACCCACCUCUCACACAGGUAAACAGUCUUUCACUUGCCUCUGCCACUUCCCAAGUACUUGAAACACUGUAAGGAGUCAUCUCAUCUCACAGCGAACACAUCCUCACCGAGACCGGUCACUGGCAUGGAGCGCGAACGUAAGGUCAGCAUGCGGCUUCAUCGUGGCGCCCCAGUGAACGUGUCGUCCUCGGACCUGACGGGGCGUCAAGACACUUCCCGCAUGUCCACAUCACAGGUAUAAGGCAGACCCUGCUCAUCCAAGCCUUCAGCAGAGCAAUAAUAAACCCUAUUACAAAAGUAGCCAGUCGGUAUCUGAAUGAUCUGUUUUGAUGUUUACUUAUUUCUACACAUAAAAAUUGUUCACAAAAAUAAAUACCUGAUGAAAUGUUAGUACAUCUUUUAUUGUUUGACCUUUUGAUUCUCAUGAUCUCUAUUAGAGUUUCUGAUUGGUGACAUUUGAGCUUAAAAUUUAAUCUGCUUAUUAGGUAGUUGAAAAGCCUUUUCUAGGAAGCUGUUGACCUAACGUUUGUGUUUCUGGGAAAAGAUAUUUCAGCAGCAUAUAUUCUUUCAAUAUGAUGGACAGUAGGCACGGUAUGAUUUAUGGGUUGGUGUGAGUAGUGUGUUGUGGGGGUGGAAGGCUGUAAUGUUCUCUCUCUUCACCCCAGAAUAGCAUUCCCUUCGAACACCACGGCAAGUAGUUGAUCGUCACAUCCUUGUGUGAAGGCAAAUGCACCAGAUUGUCUCCAUGUCCCAGAAGCCUCCACUUUGCAAUAUGGAGCAGGAUGGGCAACCUAACUACACAUGGCUGAUUGACAGCUCUCCACCAUCAGCUAAUAGAUCGGCCGUCAGUGUCUCUCUUCUAUUGACCAAACCAAAAUGGUGUAGAACCAACCCGACCUCUUUGCUUACAGGCUUCCUCUCCUCUUCUUCUCUCUCAUGUUCUCAUAUUUUCUCUCCUACACUUUUUAAAUGUUCUCGUGGACAUGAGAGCUACAGCCUGGUGCGAAUUCACACCAUUUGGUUGACCAAUCAGAGACCGGAUCAGCCAGCCACACCAUUGUCAGCUCCUGCGUCCUUCCUUCACAGUUCCACUCACACACAUUCAGUGCUGCACAACUUUCUCUGGUUCAGGCUCCUCGUGAUUGAGGCUAAUGUAUCGUCUGUGUGGUUUAAAUGGGUCUUUUUGUUUCUGUGUACUGAAAUUUCUUUUGUAUUUUAACCUGGGCAACAGACGAGUCCGUCUGGUGGCCUUAUGGGUUCACUUUAAAAUUUUCUAUUUACUCCAUGUAUUUAUUUUUUAAUAUACAUUUUAAUACCCCUCUGUAGCUGGUGAGGUUCCUUUCCCGCAGUGAAGCUGGUGGUAUAGAGUGGACGGACCACAAAGGGGCCAGAAUCCCAGCAUACAUCGCUCAUGGCAAACUGACUCCACAGCGUGGUUUUUACUCAUACAUGUGCUCACAGCGGGACCCUGUGAACUUCACCUGUUUGUCUGCUAUAUUGAUCUCUUUAACUGUACAAUACUGCCUCCCCCUUUAUUGUGUCUUCUGUUUCUAAGCUGUGAAAUAACUAAAAUAAUCGUGUAAAUGUUUCCAUGCGAUUCUUCAGAAAGACUAUGAAAUGACCGCAGAUGGUUUGAGUCUGAAAGUUAUCACCAGUUAUUUUUAUCAACUCUUUCAUAAAGCCACAACAAUGAAGUGCCAGACUUUGGGGGUUUCAUGCAUUCUGAGCAUGAACUUUGACUCUUGAGGAUGUUGUUUUGACUCAUGAAUGGAGAUCAUGCUUAGAAAUGCUUUGUCUCUUUUGAAAAGGUUGGUUAUACUUUGCUGCAAAUUUUUUUUUUCUGAUGGUUCAGAUGGUGUUUUGUAAGUGAAAAGU